CUGGACGUACACGACGCGCCAUCGAGCCGCCGCCGUCAGUUGGGCGGUUGGGCCUCAGCGUACGGCCGAGGACGGACAGGAUAGGGAGAGGACGCGCUGGGGCGUUGGCCUUGCGCUUCCCCUCUUCCGUCGAUCCGGCUGCUCCCGGUCCCCCACAAUCCGGCGUCGCAGGGUCCCAAAAACUCGGGAUCCCGGCGGAAGAUGGCCGCCUCCUGCUCCUUCCGCUCCGUCGUCCGGGCGCCUCCGCUCUCCCGGAGCCUCGCCAGGAGCGCGGUGCGCUGCCGCCGCGCCGCCACGCCGGGGGCCGGUGGUGCCGCCUCCACCUCCAAGCUUGUCGUGGAGGUGAAAGAACGGCUGGCGAGGGAGCACCCGGGCCUCCCCACGGGCAGGAACGGGAGGGACGAUGACGACAUGAUCCUCUGGUUCUUGAAGGACCGCAAGUUCUCCGUCGACGAAGCUGUCUCCAAGCUCACCAAGGCCAUUAAAUGGCGUCAGGACUUUGGUGUAUCAGAAUUAUCUGAAGAAUCAGUGAAAGGCUUGUACCAAACUGGCAAGGCAUAUGUACAUGAUUCUUUGGACAUUGAUGGCAGACCUGUGCUAGUUGUAAUAGCAGCCAAACAUUUUCCUUCGACACAAGAUCCAGUUGAAAAUGAGAAGCUAUGUGCCUAUUUGGUCGAGAAAGCAAUAAACAGACUUCCCUCAGGGGAAGAGAAUAUACUUGGAAUCUUUGAUCUGCGAGGCUUCCGUGUUGAAAAUGGUGAUCUCCAGUUCUUAAAGUUUUUGAUUGAUGUUUUCUACUAUUACUAUCCGAAGCAGCUUGGCCAAGUUCUUUUUGUAGAUGCUCCAUUUGUUUUUCAACCAAUGUGGCAGGUUGUUAAACCUCUUUUGAGAUCAUAUGCCUCCCUGGUGAGAUUUUGCGAUUCUGAGACUGUGAGGAAAGAAUACUUCACAGAAGAAACCGUGCCUCCUGAUUUCCACUGUUAAAUGUCUUGAUUUCUUCAGUAGCAGAUCAUUAUCCAGGAACGGCUCUGGCAGGUUUUGGUUGCAGUAAAAACUAAGUUGCAGAGAUAUUGUCGGUGGUUGCUCAAAUAUGGCCUUGUUUGCUUGUCGGAGUGGCACAUGAGCACCUCCAUUCCUCCAAUUAGGAAGUGACUCCAUCAGUUUUUUAGUCUCGUUACUUUGUGGCCAGGAAAUAGAAGACGCGACUGAAGAUUUGUGAAUACAGUGCCGCAUCUGGUGACACGAGAGAAUGUCUUGGACGACGGGCGAAGAAAGUUUUGCCAGCAGUUCAAGAGGGCUCUAGAGUAGAGGUCAUGAUGAGAACUGAGAGUGCUGUAUUGGUGUUUGUCUGCAGUUGUCCUUCUAUGACAUGUCAUAUGUAUAAGUAUAUAUGAACACACUGUCUGGGGUACCGCUUUGGUAACAAAUCUUAAAUUAAGCAUGAGCA